GAUGAACGCUGGCGGCGUGCCUAAUACAUGCAAGUCGAGCGAACAGACGAGGAGCUUGCGCCGCUGACGUUAGCGGCGGACGGGUGAGUAACACGAGGAUAACCUACCUAUAAGACGGGGAUAACUUCGGGAAACCGGAGCUAACACCGGAUAAGAUGCUGAACCGCAGGGGUGAACAGUGAAAGACGGUGUUGCGGGCACGUAUAGAGGGAUCCGCGUCGCAUUGGGUGGUUGGUACGGUAAAGGGCUACCAAGGGAACGAGGCGUAUGCGACCUGAGGGAGUGAUAGGCCACCCUGGAGCGGAGCCACGGUCCAGGCUCCUACGGGAGGCAGCAGUCGGGAACGUUACGCAGUGGUCGGAAGCCUGACAGAGCGACGGCGCGUGAGAGACAACGGUCUUCCGAUCGUAAAGCUGUGUUAUUAGGGAAGAACAAAUGUGUAAUUAACUAUGCACGUCUUGACGGUACUUAAUCAGAAAGCCCCGGCUAACUACGUG
rnacentral:rRNA from 1 species